GUCUCCGUAGUUUAGUGGAUAGAAUGCAUCCUUGCGGAGGAUGAGACCGGAGUUCAAUUCUCCGCGGAGACA
rnacentral:tRNA from 6 species